rnacentral:SRP_RNA from 1 species
GCCAGGCAUGGUGGUGCGUGCCUGUAAUCCCAGCUACUCGGGAAGCUGAGGCAGGAGAAUCACUUGAACCUGGGAGGCAUAGGUUACAGUGAGCUGAGAUGGUGCCACUGCACUCUAGCCUGGGUGAUAUAGUGAGACUUUGUCUCAA